rnacentral:lncRNA from 1 species
UUGCCUCACUCUCCUUCAAAACCGAAGAUUGACCAGCCAUGGAAAGGCAAUACUGAGCAAUCUCUCUAAACUUGGGCACACUUCUGAGGUCCACCUUGGUUCCAUCCUUCAAUGUAAUCACAAUAUCACCCCACUCCCCCACAAAACGCGGCACCACCUGCACAUCCUUUAUCACUUUGUAGGAGAAGUCGCUCCUAUCUUGACCAGUCAGUCCCGAAAUCACGGUCACCCUCAAAUUGGUGAACCUGUACCGGAGAAAGAAGGCUCUCGAAACUGCUGCCAGAGUUAAGGGUAACCAGAGAAGAGUGAAACCCAGAAGGAGGUUGGCAACGAGGUCACCGUAGUGAGCUCCGCCGUCAAAGAAUAUGGUUUCUUCGGUUGGUUUGGAGGUGGACUUUGAGGUCGUGGCAGUGGGUUUGUUGGUGGGGGAGGAUACGUGGAGCUUGGAAUGUGGCCUGUUGGUUCUGGAGGAGGGUAUGGAGGGGAGUUUAGUGAAGGAGAGUUUGGUAGAGAAUUGAAGAGAGUGGUGGGUUGUAGACGUGGUGGCGG